UAGAUUCGAACAAGGUCGGAACUUGCCGAUGUGUAACGAUUCAGGCGGAAGUCUGGACUUACUUGUAAAGGAGUUGCCGUCGCAUUAUAAAAAUGCAUAUUUCAUGCUUACCAUCACCAUUUCUUCAGAAGUCGUCAACCUACAAGCAUCAUGAAAAUCUCAGCUCUUGCCUUUUUCGCCCUUGUCGGAGUUAUCGGUGUUGCCCUCGGUGCCGGGUACGGAUACGGCGGUUAUUCUGGCGGGUACACCUACAUGCCAGUAUCUGGUUACGGUCAGCAAGGGGCCGGCGGAUUAGGAGAUGGUUCUUUCUUGAUGCUGAUCGGAUUCUUGUUCCUGAUCUUGAUCUUGUUCAACAGCAACCUGUUUAACACCACCUCAACAGCUACGACCACACCCAUCACCAUCCUCCAGGGUUAAAUAUGAUUUAGAGAAAGGCCAACUACAGCUAUUUACACCUUUGUUGGAUCCUAUAUCUUGUACAUGGAGAAAUUACUCAUUCUGUAAUUUGAUUGGUCAAAAAGUCAUGUAUUCUGUGAUAUCUAAAUUAUUAUUGCACUCAACAGAUAUGUUUUAUAUCAUAAACAUAAAAAUAAUAAUAAACUUAUGAAAUAUAA